rnacentral:rRNA from 1 species
UAACACGUGGAUAACCUACCUAUAAGACUGGGAUAACUUCGGGAAACCGGAGCUAAUACCGGAUAACAUAUUGAACCGCAUGGUUCAAUAGUGAAAGGCGGCUUUGCUGUCACUUAUAGAUGGAUCCGCGCCGUAUUAGCUAGUUGGUAAGGUAACGGCUUACCAAGGCAACGAUACGUAGCCGACCUGAGAGGGUGAUCGGCCACACUGGAACUGAGACACGGUCCAGACUCCUACGGGAGGCAGCAGUAGGGAAUCUUCCGCAAUGGGCGAAAGCCUGACGGAGCAACGCCGCGUGAGUGAUGAAGGUCUUCGGAUCGUAAAACUCUGUUAUCAGGGAAGAACAAAUGUGUAAGUAACUGUGCACAUCUUGACGGUACCUGAUCAGAAAGCCACGGCUAACUACGUGCCAGCAGCCGCGGUAAUACGUAGGUGGCAAGCGUUAUCCGGAAUUAUUGGGCGUAAAGCGCGCGUAGGCGGUUUUUUAAGUCUGAUGUGAAAGCCCACGGCUCAACCGUGGAGGGUCAUUGGAAACUGGAAAACUUGAGUGCAGAAGAGGAAAGUGGAAUUCCAUGUGUAGCGGUGAAAUGCGCAGAGAUAUGGAGGAACACCAGUGGCGAAGGCGACUUUCUGGUCUGUAACUGACGCUGAUGUGCGAAAGCGUGGGGAUCAAACAGGAUUAGAUACCCUGGUAGUCCACGCCGUAAACGAUGAGUGCUAAGUGUUAGGGGGUUUCCGCCCCUUAGUGCUGCAGCUAACGCAUUAAGCACUCCGCCU